rnacentral:rRNA from 1 species
GAUGAACGCUGGCGGCGUGCUUAACACAUGCAAGUCGAACGAAGCACUUUAUUUGAUUUCCUUCGGGACUGAUUAUUUUGUGACUGAGUGGCGGACGGGUGAGUAACGCGUGGGUAACCUGCCUUGUACAGGGGGAUAACAGUUGGAAACGGCUGCUAAUACCGCAUAAGCGCACAGCAUCGCAUGAUGCAGUGUGAAAAACUCCGGUGGUAUAAGAUGGACCCGCGUUGGAUUAGCUAGUUGGUGAGGUAACGGCCCACCAAGGCGACGAUCCAUAGCCGACCUGAGAGGGUGACCGGCCACAUUGGGACUGAGACACGGCCCAAACUCCUACGGGAGGCAGCAGUGGGGAAUAUUGCACAAUGGGCGAAAGGCUGAUGCAGCGACGCCGCGUGAGCGAAGAAGUAUUUCGGUAUGUAAAGCUCUAUCAGCAGGGAAGAUAAUGACGGUACCUGACUAAGAAGCACCGGCUAAAUACGUG